GUUUGAUCAUGGCUCAGAUUGAACGCUGCGGCAGGCCUAACACAUGCAAGUCGAGCGGUAGAGAGAAGCUUGCUUCUCUUGAGAGCGGCGGACGGGUGAGUAAUGCCUAGGAUCUGCCUGGUAGUGGGGGAUAACGUUCGGAAACGGACGCUAAUACCGCGUACGUCCUACGGGAGAAAGCAGGGGACCUUCGGGCCUUGCGCUAUCAGAUGAGCCUAGGUCGGAUUAGCUAGUUGGUGAGGUAAUGGCUCACCAAGGCGACGAUCCGUAACUGGUCUGAGAGGAUGAUCAGUCACACUGGAACUGAGACACGGUCCAGACUCCUACGGGAGGCAGCAGUGGGGAAUAUUGGACAAUGGGCGAAAGCCUGAUCCAGCCAUGCCGCGUGUGUGAAGAAGGUCUUCGGAUUGUAAAGCACUUUAAGUUGGGAGGAAGGGCAGUUACCUAAUACGUGAUUGUUUUGACGUUACCGACAGAAUAAGCACCGGCUAACUCUGUG
rnacentral:rRNA from 1 species